rfam:Danio rerio chromosome 4, GRCz11 reference primary assembly.
GUAUUGGUGGUUCAGUGGUAGAAUGCUCACCUGCUACGCGGGAGAACUUGAGUCGCUUCCUGGCUAAUACA